AUUGAACGCUGGCGGCAUGCCUUACACAUGCAAGUCGAACGGCAGCACGGGAGCAAUCCUGUGGCGAGUGGCGAACGGGUGAGUAAUAUAUCGGAACGUGCCCAGUAGUGGGGGAUAACUGCUCGAAAGAGCAGCUAAUACCGCAUACGACCUGCGGGUGAAAGGGGGGGAUCGCAAGACCUCUCUCUAUUGGAGCGGCGGGUAUCCGGUUAGCUAGUGGGUGGGGUAAAGGCCUACCAAGGCAACGAUCUGUAGUUGGUCUAAGAGGACGACCAGCCACACUGGGACUGAGACACGGCCCAGACUCCUACGGGAGGCAGCAGUGGGGAAUUUUGGACAAUGGGCGCAAGCCUGAUCCAGCAAUGCCGCGUGCAGGAAGAAGGCCUUCGGGUUGUAAACUGCUUUUGUCAGGGAAGAAAUCCUCUAGGUUAAUACCCUUGGGGGGAUGACGGUACCUGAAGAAUAAGCACCGGCUAACUACGUGCCAGCAGCCGCCGUAAAAC
rnacentral:rRNA from 1 species